GUCUCAGUAGUGUAAUGGAUAAAGCAUAACAGACUAGAUAUUAGUAGGCGCGGGUUCGAUUCCUGUCUUAGGUU
rnacentral:tRNA from 1 species